AGGGAUGCAGCUCAGUGGUACAGUGCUUGCUUAGCAUGUGUGAGGCCCUGGGUUCCAUCCCCAGCACCCCCA
rnacentral:tRNA from 1 species